GCGGCGCUGGGAGGCACUGCGGCCGUCUGUGAGGGAGGGCAGCGGUGAGGCAGCUGGGUUUAUGGCCCAGGUUUCCAGGAGAGAUGGUCAUAGCUGUGUGUGUGUGUGUGUCGACCAAGGGAAGAGCCUUACAUAUGGUUCUUGUAUAUCGGCGUGCAAGCCCGGAAAGUACUAGGAACAACUUACUUAACGUGUAGCUGGAGAUGAAGUGGGUACUCUGAGCCUGGCGGCAGACUGGAUGUAGCCUUUGUCAGAAUAGCAGUAUUUCAGUCUGAAAGCACAGCAUUUCUGUGACCAGCUGCUUGUGUUUCUGCUGCAUUGGCCCACAGCGAUUCAGACAACACAGAGCAACACAGAAGUGUACUGCAGUUCAUCAUUUAAGACUGCAUCAAAAAUAGGAGCUGAAUGCAGUGUGUGUGCAGCAGGAGCCUACAGAGGAAGCUGGGCCAGUGAGAAUGCAGAGCAGUCUGGUGACGAUGGCAGCCCUGGACAGCAGCACAGCAAAUGGUAUGUUUUGAAUCUAGUUAACUUCCUAGUGAAAUGCCAGGCAGUAAUCAUCAAGCAGACCUGCUAAUUUCAACAGAGCAGUUAGCAUUUAAUUGAGGUAUGCAAAGAACUGGAACCUGUAGAAACUUCUGUGAGUACUGAGACCCUCUGAAAACUCGUGGCUUCCUCUUCUUUGUGUCAUGCAUCUGAGAUGGUUGUUUUGAGUAAUGGCUUCUCUUUCUGAUGCCUGAUGUAAGUAGCUGUGUUGUAGUUUUGAUCAAGUCUGCCAAAGACCCCGGGCCUCCAACACAGUAAGAAAGGUAGGCAGUUUGAAAUCCUUCUCGACAGUAUAUAGCUAAACAUACAAGGUAAAGUCAGGAUGAAAUUUUGAUUGUAACUGUGUUUUAAAUGAUGCUGGUAGUGCUGCCUGGAAUUAAGCUUGCCUCACGUUUCCCAUGAUAAGACCCUUUUUUCAGUGGCAUCUAACUUUGUCAGGUUUCAGUUGUUUGGGCUGAAACUUUUCAUGCUGAAUGUCUGCUUCAGAUGAAUUGGUUUGGAAAGCUUAAACAAAGAAAUGGUUUCACCAUUUCUGGGAAUGAAAUUAAGAGAAAAAUAUUUUCUUUUGCCAUGCCAACUUAAUUCUGGCGUUUCCCGGUGUAUGGCAACUGUUGAAUCGUGGCCUGAACCUCAGAUUGACCACCUGAGGCGAGCACUGAGUCAGCCGCAGAGGACACAGUUGAACACAGUUUCACCUGAGUGACCGGAAGACCCCAUGUAAGGGCUGACUCUUGGAGCCCUUUGGUGAGCCCACGACCAGGGUAAGCUCUUUAUUUCAUCAUGCCUUUGUAAUGUGGUAAUCUCUCUGGUCCUGUACCCGUAUACCUAUUUGCCUUACAAUCUGUUUACUUGUUUGCUGUACGCCUGGGUUUUGAGUGCUUGGGUCUGCAGCCUUGAUGGUUUUCUAUGUACAUUUAUGUUUCCUUCAGAAAAGGAAAGUUUGUAACAUAAUGCCUACAUACAUACAUUCAGAUAACUGAAGAAUGUUUAAGUUGAUGUGAAAACUGUAAACAAUAAACUUGCAUAAGAAGCGAUCAAUAUAUAUAUAUAUAGUAUAUAUAGUAAUAUAUCAGUGAUAGGUACCUCUUCUUUGGUCCUCCUUGUUUUACUAACACCCACGUGGUGUCUAGGACAUCUGGAAAUGUUGCUGGAGCCUUUGAGGCCCUAGUCUAUAUGUGUUCAUGCUGGAGGAACUGAAGCUGAAGCGGGGGAAGGAAGUAAUUUUUAACUCCUCCCUAAAUGCCAGUCACUGCCAGGGAGAAGUCAAUCUGGUAUAUGGCAUCUAAGAGAAAAUACAUGGAUACCUGUUACGAAAGAGAGAUGCUGUCUGUAAGCACUGCUUGUGUCACACUGCUGUAUGGUCCUCAAAGGAGCCCUCAAGCUCCCUUUCCAUAUCCAGGUUAUGUAGAUACUGGUGAUGCUAGGAACUUGAAACUAAGUUCAUUUGCUGGCUUUUACAGUAGGUGAUUAUUGUUUUUUGUUUGUCGUUGCUCCCCUAUCCAAAGUAUUUCAGUGAGUUGUAUCUUCUGCCAAGGCAGAGUUUCUAGUUGAGGCUUGGCUGAAAAAAUGAAGGCAAACAAGAGCUUUGCUAGAUUCCAGUCUGGAAAGGAAGAAGAUCCUGGGGGAUUUUUGUGUUGUAGCUCCUAAAGGCCUCUGAAUGCUUCUGGGGCUGUAUCUUUUAACCUGGACUAGAGAAGAGUCUUUGAAGUUCCUACAGUUUGAUUGGAAGGGGAGACAGAGGAUGAAGUCGGUGAGGCACAGAGGUGAAAAGCUCCAUUCAGUGUUACAUAUCUGCUCAUGAUGGUGGUGGGUUUUUCCCUUCUGUGUCGGGUGAAGAGACAGGCUGGUUGCGGAGUUGUGCUGGGUGACUGGUUGCUGAACUCAUCUGAAAAAAAAACAGUCUGUUUCACAAACAACAGGAGAAAACAAAGAAUAGUUGAAGAGUGCUGGUGUACGUGUGUAUUCCGUUGUCCUGCAGGACACAGAGGUGCUCAGGCUUGUGACUGUCCUGGAGACUGUUCCAAUAAUGGAAAUGGAUUUCUGAGCUAACGUGGAUGAGAUUCCUGUCAUGAAUGCUGUCCUGUGGAAGGGCUCUACCCAGCAACUAACAAGGUUGGCCCCGUAACAUCUCUGCACUCGAUCCCUCAGAAAUGGGAGUGGUGGUAUACAGUGACAGGGAAGUUGUUUGCACAGCAUUUCUCUUGGAAGGACUCCCACUUGCUCUGUUCCUGACCAAUGUGUACAUUCUUUCAGGUUAAAUUUCAGUGGAUGCAGCAUGUUCCUUCACUUCCUCCCCUGAAUGGGUGUUGACAUGCUAUGAAACAGCUGCCUUGCUCUGCUCUGGAGGUAGAUGCUCUUUCAAAGGCUGAAGUAACUCCUGCCAACAUCCAGCUUGUCUUAUUAACCUGUUGGGAUUGCUCCAGACCAAAGUUACAGAGGAAUGCUGUGUUAUGUGGCAAACGACCCGGGAAAGGUAUUUUAUGAUAUAUGUGGAAUUACAUUUGCAACAUGUAUCUGUAACAGCCCUAAGACCUCACUGUACAGCUUUAGUUCACAGGGGAAUAUUGAAGCAAUUCUGUGCCUUCCUUGGUUGAAGCUCCAGUGUAUAGCUGAAAAUCUGAUUACCGAAUUACUGAAGCCUUAAGAAAUUAGGCUGUCUUCAGGAUUGUUUCUUAGAAGAAGGAUGGCAGCAGGGCCAGCGUGAGAGUAACUGUGGGGAAGUGAUCGGUAUGCGAUGGUGUUACUUUCCCAGCUGUUCAAUGGGCUUUUCUGUGGGGUGUAGCUUCUUCAGCACGGGAACAAUCUUUCAUUCUCAUUUCUGCAGUCCCCUAAGUAUGUGUGAUCUGGAAUUGCGCAGUAAUGUAAUACCUGAAAUCUUGUGAUGGACUUCCAUAGGAAGUCCUAUGUUUGGACGUGCGGUUGUAUCUUUCUAGGAUAACCUGUUGUUCAUCAUCCUUUCUGGAAGCUGGCUUUGGAAAGGUAUAUUGACAGAGAGAAUUUACGGUAUUAUUUUAAGACACUUAAUAAACCAUAGUGUUCCUUUAUUACAAUGUAAAGCAGUGCCGGUUUUGAGUUUUAUAAGGCAUUUAAGCGCAGUUGUGGCCUUCAUGAACGUAAUACCAACGAUUGUAUGAGAAGAAGGGCACUGCGUUGAAGUUGAAGAUGAGUUGAGGUUGGACAUUACGCACUGAUUUCCCAAGAGGACUCUCCUUCAGUGCCUGGAGAAGUAAUUUCAAUAUUCAUCUCUUCUCAUUGUAGGCUAAUUACUAAAUAUUGUAGUAGCUUAAUUUAGUUUGUAAUUUAUUCACUUGUUUGUGAUUAUGUUCCCAGAAUGGGGGAUAAACUUGAAUUGGAGUAUUUGAAUAUUUGAGGAUUGGGAUUAAAAAAAAAAAAAUCUGAAUCAAGAAAUGAGAUGAUACUACUUACCUAGCUUAAGAAGCAGGCCGGAUAGGGAAAUUGUGUGUUUGUAGCUGCUUUGAAAAAACUUUUCCACUCUGCUGUACCUGGUGCUGCUGUGAACGUUCUUACAGUGUGAAGACCAAAUGUGAAAGGUUGCUGUUAGUUGCAUGUAAAUCGUUUCUGUGCCUUAUGGACCUUGUGCAGCAACUGAAGAGCCUUGUGAAUGAAAGGUUUUCUAUAAACAUACGUGGUAAUUACAUCGUGGGAGGAUACAAAUGGUGACUUUAGCUGUGUGGGGCCCAGAUGUGGAAGUCAUUGCUCCUGGAAGCAGGAAAGGGAGGUGAGACUGAGCCAAUCAGGAGAGCAGCAAAACUGUGACUGUCUGAUACUCUAGUUGUAGGAAGCGAAAAGGUGUUGGUUGUGCCAAGGGCACAAGGUCUGUAAUUAGGUUAUUAAGUGCAGCAUCCUCCCUGUCUGUCAAGCUGCUUCCGAUGCAGUCCUGGUCUCUUGGAUCCCAGGAGUGCCUGACAAGGUCCUGUUCUGGAGCACUGAUUUCAUUUGCUUCCAGCAGCUGCUUUAUUAGGUUUAUGAACUGUUUUUCUUAACACCAUCAAACUAGGGUUUGACUUCCUGGGUGCUGGUUUUACAGUUUUAGAACUUGUGCAGCAUAAAAAAAAUGACACUUUUACUGUGGCAUCCUCAUUGCAUGUGAACUGCAGUGUCUUCCAUAGUACAGCUGCAAGGUUCCUUUUGAAAGUAAUGAUCCCCCAGCUCAUAGCUGUGAGAAAAUCAAAGCAAACAUUUAGCCCUUGCUGGGAUCCAUUACGUAGUAAGGAAUACUUUCCACUCUGCUGAAAGCGGUCUCUUACUUGGUUCUUCAAACUGGGGAGAUAAAGAGGGAAGUGAUGAUCAAACUGGUUUCCUCCUCUUCCUCCUUUUCCCAUGAGAGCUCUGUAGAACUCACCAGGUCUGGCACAGCAGAAGCAUUCUGCAGUGCUUUUCCUUUGCUCUGAGUAAUGCUCCUGUACUUCUCAGCUGGCUGCCCAAGGCAGCUGUGCUCUGCUGGGUAUUACUGGGCAUAUCUAUUUCUGUUUUGUAAUUGUUGUGUUUCUUCAGGUGUAAUGAGACUAGACAGGUUUUUCUCUUAGAGUCACUGUUUGUUCACCUAUGUUUUUUUUGCAGGAGAAACAUGUAAGGGAUUGUCACUGGGAGCUGCUGGUCAGGCUGUGAUACUCAGCUAAAAGCUGCUCAUGAGAAAUACUAACAUGCAGACUUGGCAAUGCUGCAUGCCUGCAGUUGGUAGGAAUAAGAGGUGAAGAAGUCUCUCCAGUGUUAAACUGAUUUAUCGUUCAGCAAUGUCAACAGAAAUUUGGGCAUGUAAUCCUCAGUAGCUAUAUCAGGUGGUUUAGUAAGAAAAAAAAAAAAAAACUCUCCUUGCAAACUGCUUUCACUCCCUAGAAAGCAUCAGCAGUGCUGCUGGUACAAUGCACCCUGCUUAAAGGUAGAAAUACUGUAUGUGUUAGUAGCAUAUUGUAGAAAUAUAGUUGCUGAAUUCUGUGAUUAAUUCUUGCUUAAAACUGCAGUAGUUUUUAAACGUUCCAAAUGCUAUAGAUAUAGCAUUAUGGACUAGAAAGAAUAUUGUAGGGCUAUUUACGUAAGAGACCCGCAGCAAAAGAAAAACAGACUUAACAAACAGCAAAGAAGCCAGGGCCUCUGCACAAGGAUUGCCUCGUUGUGCGGGUAGGUUGAGCUGCAACAAGCAGGCAUCAAGGUACUCUCCUCUAUCCUCUUUCCAAGCUUUUCUCUAUGCAAGGAGAAGCAGAUGUCCAGAAACAACAACCGAGUGCUGAGUGAGCAAAUGUGAGAAGUUAACUAAUUAGCAAUAUAUGCUUAGCUAGCAGCAAUUUACGUUUACCUGGUACCAUGUGUUUAGUUGAGCAUUGGCAAGAUGAUGAACCUUUAGUACUCAACCAAUGAGGAACUGAAGGGCAAAAUCAGGUCCCCGCAGUAUAGAAAGAAGGGCUUCAUAGCAAGAAAAGAGAAAGCAGCUUCACAAGGUAGACAUAAGGAGCAAAUAGAGAUAGAUAGUUUAUGUAGAGAGUAUUAGAAAACAAGGGAUUCCAAGCACUUUCACAGGCGCUAGGUCCAGAAUAACAAGGAGAAUGAAGGCCAUAAAGAUAAGGACUGGAGAACAGCUCGAAAACAUUUGGCAGGGAGGUGAUUAGAUGUCUGAAGUGCAAGCUGAAACUGGUUCGGGGGAUGCCCCCCCCUUCGGGGUCAGAAGUUUGCAGCGAGGAAGACUAUGAGCCUUCGCGAGGAAGACUAUGAGCCUUCAUCAUCACGACCUACUACGCAUGCGCAAAAGGGGGAGGGACUGCAUGCUAAUGGGCUCUCGGGAAUGUAAUGAAUAUGUAUCCGAAUUCGCAGUCAACUAUUGAUCAGGUAUUAGUUUGACCUAUAUCUAUAGCACGAUUUCUUCGGACGGUGUGCAAGUUAGGUGGAGCGAUCCCCCUUGCACCAGGGUGUAUGCGCGUCACCAAUAAACACAUACCUGCUCUA